UACGUAGGGUGCAAGCGUUAAUCGGAAUUACUGGGCGUAAAGAGCUCGUAGGCGGACUGUCACGUCCGCUGUGAAAAGCUGGGGCUUAACCCUGGCCUUGCAGUGGAUACGGGCAGACUAGAGGUAGGUAGGGGAGAAUGGAACUCCCGGUGUAGCGGUGAAAUGCGCAGAUAUCGGGAGGAACACCGGUGGCGAAGGCGGUUCUCUGGGCCUUACCUGACGCUGAGGAGCGAAAGCGUGGGGAGCGAACAGG
rnacentral:rRNA from 1 species